GAUGAACGCUGGCGGCGUGCCUAAUACAUGCAAGUCGAGCGAACGGACGAGAAGCUUGCUUCUCUGAUGUUAGCGGCGGACGGGUGAGUAACACGUGGAUAACCUACCUAUAAGACUGGGAUAACUUCGGGAAACCGGAGCUAAUACCGGAUGAUAUUUUGAACCGCAUGGUUCAAAAGUGAAAGACGGUCUUUCUGUCACUUAUAGAUGGAUCCGCGCUGCAUUAGCUAGUUGGUAAGGUAACGGCUUACCAAGGCAACGAUGCAUAGCCGACCUGAGAGGGUGAUCGGCCACACUGGAACUGAGACACGGUCCAGACUCCUACGGGAGGCAGCAGUAGGGAAUAUACCGCAAUGGGCGAAAGCAUGACGGAGCAAAGCCGCGUGAGUGAUGAAGGUCUUCGGAUCGUAAAAAUCUGUUAUUAGGGAAGAAAAAAUGUGUAAGUAAAUGUGCACAUAUUGACGGUACCUAAUCAGAAAGCCACGGCUAACUACGUG
rnacentral:rRNA from 1 species